rnacentral:rRNA from 1 species
UACGUAGGGUGCGAGCGUUAAUCGGAAUUACUGGGCGUAAAGCGUGCGCAGGCGGUUUUGUAAGCCAGAUGUGAAAUCCCCGGGCUUAACCUGGGAAUGGCAUUUGGGACUGCAAGGCUUGAGUUUGGCAGAGGAGACUGGAAUUCCUGGUGUAGCAGUGAAAUGCGUAGAUAUCAGGAGGAACACCGGUGGCGAAGGCGGGUCUCUGGGCCGAUACUGACGCUGAGGAGCGAAAGCAUGGGGAGCGAACAGG